rnacentral:miRNA from 1 species
UGAGCCACAGUAGAGCCUUGGAU